GAUGAACGCUGGUGGCGUGCCUAACGCAUGCAAGUCGAGCGAUUCUCUUCGGAGAAGAGCGGCGGACGGGUGAGUAACGCGGGGGUAACCUGCCCUGUACACACGGAUAACAUACCGAAAGGUAUGCUAAUACGAGAUAACAUGCUUUUAUCGCAUGGUAGAAGUAUCAAAGCUUUUGCGGUACAGGAUGGACCCGCGUCUGAUUAGCUAGUUGGUGAGGUAACGGCUCACCAAGGCGACGAUCAGUAGCCGACCUGAGAGGGUGGUCGGCCACAUUGGAACUGAGACACGGUCCAAACUCCUACGGGAGGCAGCAGUGGGGAAUAUUGCACAAUGGGCGAAAGCCUGAUGCAGCAACGCCGCGUGAGCGAUGAAGGCCUUCGGGUCGUAAAGCUCUGUCCUCAAGGAAGAUAAUGACGGUACUUGAGGAGGAAGCCCCGGCUAACUACGUG
rnacentral:rRNA from 1 species